rnacentral:lncRNA from 1 species
GUACCUGAUAACAUCAGAGGGUAGAAGACACACAGAGAGUUUCCGUGACCUUAUCCCCUAUGUGAUCUUGUCCAGUGUGACGAUGGGUCAUCUAGGUGUUGUCCAGUUAUCCUGCCUGAGACAUCUACCUUUGGAUGAGAGACCAAAUACAUAACCUCUGUGAUGCAAAUUACAUUUAAGGAGCUCUGGGGAGUGAAUAUGGAUUGGUGCUUUGGU